GAACGGGUGAGUAACGUGUGGGUAACCUACCUUAUAGCGGGGGAUAACUAUUGGAAACGAUAGCUAAUACCGCAUAACAAUGGAGAUUGCAUAAUUUCUAUUUAAAAGUAUCUAUUGGUACACUAUGAGAUGGACCCGCGUUGUAUUAGCUAGUUGGUAGUGUAAAGGACUACCAAGGCGAUGAUACAUAGCCGACCUGAGAGGGUGAUCGGCCACACUGGGACUGAGACACGGUCCAGACUCCUACGGGAGGCAGCAGUAGGGAAUCUUCGGCAAUGGGGGCAACCCUGACCGAGCAACGCCGCGUGAGUGAAGAAGGUUUUCGGAUCGUAAAACUCUGUUGUUAGAGAAGAACGUGUGAGAGAGUAGAAAGUUCUCACAGUGACGGUAUCUAACCAGAAAGGGACGGCUAACUACGUGCCAGCAGCCGCGGUAAUACGUAGGUCCCAAGCGUUGUCCGGAUUUAUUGGGCGUAAAGCGAGCGCAGGUGGUUUAAUAAGUCUGAUGUAAAAGGCAGUGGCUCAACCAUUGUAUGCAUUGGAAACUGUUAGACUUGAGUACAGUAGAGGAGAGUGGAAUUCCAUGUGUAGCGGUGAAAUGCGUAGAUAUAUGGAGGAACACCGGUGGCGAAAGCGGCUCUCUGGACUGUGACUGACACUGAGGCUCGAAAGCGUGGGUAGCAAACAGGAUUAGAUACCCUGGUAGUCCACGCCGUAAACGAUGAGUGCUAGUUGUUUGGGGCUAUCCAGCCCUAAGUGACGCAG
rnacentral:rRNA from 1 species